rnacentral:pre_miRNA from 1 species
UCUAGUUGUCCGAAGUCAAAAUUUUCUAACUUUGAGAUUUAUAGAAAAAUAUAUUAAUAUCCACAAUAUCAAAUAAAUGCAUUAUCAGGACAUAUUUUAUGAUGGUUUUAACUAAAUUAAUUUGGUGUUGUAGAUGUUGAUGUGAUUUUCAAUAAACUUGGUCAAAGUUAGAGAAGUUUGACUUAGCACAAAACUAA